rnacentral:rRNA from 1 species
CCUACGGGAGGCAGCAGUGAGGAAUAUUGGUCAAUGGGCGAGAGCCUGAACCAGCCAAGUCGCGUGAGGGAGUACUGCCCUAUGGGUUGUAAACCUCUUUUGUCGGGGAGCAAAAGCCGGACGUGUCCGGCUGUGAGAGUACCCGAAGAAAAAGCAUCGGCUAACUCCGUGCCAGCAGCCGCGGUAAUACGGAGGAUGCGAGCGUUAUCCGGAUUUAUUGGGUUUAAAGGGUGCGCAGGCGGAUUUUUAAGUCAGCGGUCAAAUCGUGGGGCUCAACCCCGCUCCGCCGUUGAAACUGUGUCCCUUGAGUGCGCGAAGGGUAGGCGGAAUGCGUGGUGUAGCGGUGAAAUGCAUAGAUAUCACGCAGAACUCCGAUCGCGAAGGCAGCCUACCGGCGCGCAACUGACGCUCAUGCACGAAAGCGUGGGUAUCGAACAGGAUUAGAUACCCCGGUAGUC